GCGAGUCGAGAGGUGAAAGACCUCGGCAUACUGCUCAGUAACACGUGGAUAAUCUGCCCUCAGGUGAGGAAUAAUCCCGGGAAACUGGGGCUAAUGCCUCAUAGGAGACGGGUGCUGGAAUGCUCUGUCUCCGAAAGGUCCGCCGCCUGAGGAUGAGUCUGCGUCCGAUUAGGUUGUUGUUGGGGUAACGGCCCAACAAGCCUUUGAUCGGUACGGGUUGUGGGAGCAAGAGCCCGGAGAUGGAUUCUGAGACAUGAAUCCAGGCCCUACGGGGCGCAGCAGGCGCGAAAACUUUACAAUGCGAGCAAUCGUGAUAAGGAAACCCUGAGUGCCUGUCAAUGCAGGCUGUUCUGGUGUCUAACACACACCAGGAGAAAGGGCGGGGCAAGGCCGGUGCCAGCCGCCGCGGUAAUACCGGCUGCUCGAGUGAUAGCCACUUUUACUGGGCUUAAAGCGUUCGUAGCUUGGUCGUUAAGUCUCUGGGGAAAUCUUUUGGCUCAACCAAAAGGCGUCUCAGGGAAACUGACGAUCUUGGAACCGGGAGAGGUAAGACGUACUUCGGGGGUAGGAGCGAAAUCUUGUAAUCCCCGAGGGACGACCGAUGGCGAAGGCAUCUUACCAGAACGGCUUCGACAGUGAGGGACGAAAGCUGGGGGAGCAAACCGGAUUAGAUACCCGGGUAGUCCCAGCCGUAAACGAUGUUCGCUAGGUGUCAGGGACGGUGCGACCGUUUCU
rnacentral:rRNA from 1 species